UCUCUCUUUCUGCCUUAGCUGCUACGCUUCUUGCAAAUCUUCAUCGCUAAGCUUCCACUUUCUUGAAGCUUCUUGUACCUGAAACCCAACUUCUUCUGUAGCCUUCAAUAACACUGUCAAUAAUCUUAUUUCUGCAUCAUCCCAAGUUCAAAAGCUUAUACUAUCUGGCGGUCUUGAGGUCCUAUCAAAUAUAUAUUUUGGAGGUGGUUUACGAUAUUCAUUUAUAAAUCUUCAGACCUUGCAUAUCUGUACUAGUUUGAAAAAAUGUGAAAUCCCAGGAAUAGCAUGCUUAUUGAAGAGUUCUCCUGUAGUACACACUCUCAUACUUGAACUAUGGUCUACAGGCCACAAUGCUAGAUGGAACAACCCUUUGUUGGACAGCACCGGUUGCACUGAAGAACAAUACUGGCAAAAUCAAGUUCAAAGUUCCAGUUCCUUCUUAUGUCACCUGAAGGUGGUGAAGAUUUAGACCAAUUUCUUGGUCUUCUAUUCUACGAUCAACAUUGUAAGAUUUUUGCUUGAACAUGGAUGAAGCUUGCAGGAUAUUUUUGUUGCAGCGUCAAACCGCUUUCUUUUUGGUUGAAUGAAAUCCGUAGAAUAGAGGGUUUUCCUCGAGCAUCUUCCGAAGUCAAAAUCUCAGUUACUUCUUGAUCAAUGACUAGUUUUGAUAGUACUAGUGUUCCAGAAUGUAAUGUGCAUGUAAUGUAUAAGUUAGAUUUGCUUAAUUUACAGAUACAAUUCAAGGACCUAUAAGUUUUAAUAU